CCCUUAGAUGUCCUGGGCCGCACGCGCGCUACACUGACAUGUUCAACAAGUUUCUCCUAGUUCGACAGGACUGGGAAAUCUUUGAACGCAUGUCGUGAUAGGGAUAGAUCAUUGCAAUUAUUGAUCUUGAACGAGGAAUUCCUAGUAAACGCGAAUCAUCAGCUCGCAUUGAUUACGUCCCUGCCCUUUGCACACACCGCCCGUCGCACCUACCGAUUGAAUGUUUCGGUGAAGAUUCCGGAUAGGACUGAUUUGAUUUAUUUCAUUUCUGACCUAAAAGCUAUCUAAACCUCAACAUUUAGAGGAAGGUGAAGUCGUAACA
rnacentral:rRNA from 1 species